UACGUAGGGUGCAAGCGUUGUCCGGAAUUAUUGGGCGUAAAGAGCUCGUAGGCGGUCUGUCGCGUCGGCUGUGAAAACCCGGGGCUCAACCCCGGGCCUGCAGUCGAUACGGGCAGACUAGAGUGCGGUAGGGGGAGACUGGAAUUCCUGGUGUAGCGGUGAAAUGCGCAGAUAUCAGGAGGAACAUCGGUGGCGAAGGCGGGUCUCUGGGCCGUAACUGACGCUGAGGAGCGAAAGCGUGGGGAGCGAACAGG
rnacentral:rRNA from 1 species